rnacentral:rRNA from 1 species
CAUUAUCGUACAACGGAGGUGUAAGGGCUGUCGCUGACCUUCAAAGGUUGUGCACGCCCGAGCCCUCUCACACCAAUCCAUCUCACCCUUUUGUGCAUCACCGCGUGGGUCCCCCCGUUGCCGGGGGAGGGCUUGCGUUUUCACAUAAAACUUGACACAAUGCAGAAUGUUUUCUUUUUUUUGCGGUUACAUGCAAUCAAUACAACUUUCAACAACGGAUCUCUUGGCUCUCGCAUCGAUGAAGAACGCAGCGAAAUGCGAUACGUAAUGUGAAUUGCAGAAUUCAGUGAAUCAUCGAAUCUUUGAACGCACCUUGCGCCCCUUGGCAUUCCGAGGGGCACACCCGUUUGAGUGUCGUGAAAUUCUCAAAAACCCCUCUUCUUUGAUCCUUUCGGGGUUCGGAAAGGGGAUUUUUGGACUUGGAGGUUCAAUGCUCGCCUUUCACUUUUGAAAGCGAGCUCCUCUAAAAUAAAUUAGUGGGGUCCGCUUUGCCGAUCCUUGACGUGAUAAGAUGUUUCUACGUUUUGGAUUUAGCACUGUCCCUUGGAUUCCCGCUUCUAACCGUCUCACGGACAAUGGAUGGUGCUCCGGUCACUGCCGUUUAUAUCGGCGGGAGGCUGGACCCACAGAAAAAAAAAACCUUGACCUCAA